GGGUGAAUAGCUCAGUUGGUAGAGCAUGAGACUUUUAAUCUCAAGGUUGUGGGUUCAAGCCCCAUGUUGGGCA